rnacentral:lncRNA from 1 species
CUGGUUUGGACUCGUAUUUUCUAUGGAAUAACAGUCCAGCGAACUCUAGUGUUGAAAACCCGAGGGGACCACGGGUUUAGAACGGCAUCACCUCCGCCUCUUUUCUCCUUCGAUCGUCUAUGCCUCGCUUCCUCUCUCCUUCGAUCAUCUACGCCCCUGCCUCCGCCUCUUUUCUCCUUCGAUCGUGUAUGACUCCUCCUUGGCUCUUCUCCUCAUCUCUUCAUCUCUUUUUCUUCGUUACCUUGAUGAUUGAUUACUGUAGUAGGUGAUCUUGAGUUUUUCAUAAGCUGGUGAGCAACACCUAUCUUUCUCCAAUAAUUUUCUUCUCGGUUUGUGGAUUUGUGAAAUUGGGUUACUUAUUUUUUGCUUUCUUUGUCGACAACGACACAUGCAAUUAACGUUUUCUUCCCCUCCAAUAAAAUUAUGGGCCUUUUGGGUAGUUUGAGUAGUGCUGCUGCCACUGAGUUUGAGAAUUGAGAUCAUCAAGUACAUACAUCUUUCUCUUGCAGAUAUCGGAGUUCAGAUCUUCGCCGUUGAUAUGCUCAAAUCUCUAGCUAGGUCAGUUUACACCUUAGCCUUGGGCUCUUACUAUUUCUUCAUUCUUGAUUAUAUUAUAUAUCUGUUAUGUAUGUUAAACUUUGUUGUCUGAUCAUAAUGAUAUAUAUAAUUAAGUUCCUAUAUAUAUACACACACAUAACACCUUCUUGUUAUUAAAUUACCAGUAUUUCUUGUGUUUUUCCUUUUCAAUUUGUCAAAAUCCUUGAUUUGCUUAGGGAAUUUAAAAGCGGGAAAACAUGUCUGUGAAAAUGCUCUGAAAUAAUUGGAAACAUAUUUUUAGAUUAAUCUUUUUGGUUCCUAUUCACACACCACCACAGGAACAUAAUCUCAUAUUAAUCUUUUUGGUUCCCAUUCACACACCACCACAGGAACAGAAUCUCAUAUUAAUCUUUUUGGUUCCCAAAUGUUCUCUCUCUCUCUCUCUCUCUGGACAGAUUUUUAUGAAUAUAUUCAUUAUAAGGUUUCUUGCCCUUUUUUCUUUCCAAAAAUGAUUUAGUGAUUUGUACCUUGGUCUUCUUUCUCAAGGCCAUGGUUUCGGAUAUCAGCUAUUUUAUACCCAGAAGUAUUGGAUCCUGAGCAAGUAGUGAAAGGGCUAUCUGGUAAUCUAAUACUAUCAGUUGGAUAUGCUGAAUGUUUUCUCUUCAAAAUUCCAGAUUUAGUAAGGUUGGCAUAGACUAUCAUGGCCUAAUAUAUUUUCAGUGUGUUUUAAUUACUGGCUAUUAGGGUGUUGUUUGAAACUUUGACUGAUGGGGUGGGGGAGCUUGGGCUUGGAGUUUUCUUGUUUUUGUGAAAUGGAUUUUGGAGGAUUAGGGUUUUUAGGGGAGUGUGUGAGUUUGUUUUUUGGUGGAAGAUAUGUGCAGAAGGGUUAUGAUGAUGAUGGGGGUGGGUUUUUGUGUUUUGUUAAUUCUUUUGUUUGUUGGAAGAAGAAUGGGAUAUUGUCGAUGGUUGGGGUUUUGCAGGGUGGGUUUUGGGAAAUAUCUGGUGUAGAAUUCAUGAUGUUUGUUUGUUUGUCCACAAAUCUUCUAGGGUUUAGUGUUGGAUCAACAAGUCUGAUUCAUACUAUGCAUUUUGAAUGUGCGAGCAAAGACUGCAUGUUAACUAUUUUUUUUGGGUGAUUAAUUGGAGAUUAUGAACAUCAGUUUCAAGUGCUGGUCCUUAUUACUAUCAGUUUAAAAUAUUUUUUCAAGUCUUAUGUGUGAGUUGGGUUCAAAAGCAAUUUUCUAAAAUCAUAUUUUAUUUUUAUUUUUAAUUAUGAAAAGUUUUUGUGUCAGUUGCUUUGAUCUGUUGUUUUAUGUUUUGAAAAUCUUCUUGUUACAAUUUUUAUUUGAAUAUUUUGCUGUUCUGACCUAGGAUGAUUGCAUCCGCUUGUUUGAGGUGGAACUGAGACCCUGUUUUCAGGGAGAACCCCUCGAUGAAGCUACAUUUCAUAUGACAUCAAUGGAUUUAACUGAGGUUUUUAAUCUGAAUUAUUGCAUCAAAAUCCAGUGUUUGUGUGUUUGGUUUUUGUAUAAUAAGAUUAGGUGCUAAGGAUGUUACAAUCCAACGUGUUUGAGGUGUAGAGGAAGCGAGAUAUGAGGUUCAUAUUUGUCUAACCGGGUUGGGAGGGUUCAGCAUUAGACUCUAUAGUUCUUAGAGAUGCGAUAUAUAGGCCAUAUGGGUUAAAGGUUCCGACGGGUAAGAUUAAUGUAUAUCAUAUAGUGUAGGUGUAAAUCAUCCUAAAUUUGAAUUUUAUUUUUUAAUUAGCUCCUAUUUAUUCUUUAUGUUAUUAUUACCUUGUGGAUGUUGGUUAUACAAAUUGUGAGAGAUUUCUUGCACCCUACAAAGGAAUGAGACAUCACUUAUCGGAAUGUAGAGAAGGAUGUGCACCCUUGGACCAUCGAGAAUACUUUAACAUGAAGCAUGCAUCAGCAAGAAACGUGGUGGAACAUUGUUUUGGACUUCUUAAGAUGCGUUGGGCAAUGUUAAGGAGUCCAUUGUUCUAUCCAAUACAAACCCAAUGCGAAUAAUAACGGGCUGUUGUCUUUUACACAACUCAAUUAGGAGAGAGAUGUCUAUAGAUCCAAUGGAGCAAGAAAUUUAUUAUGAUCCCCUCACUGAGAACAAUGUAGAUCAUGGCACUAUUGAUACCAUUGCAGCAUUCGACCAAUGAUCUGCAUGGAGGGAUAAUUUGGCUACUGAGAUGUUUUAAUGAUUUGAUGGCAAAUAAAGCAACAUAACAUAAGGUGUUGAUCAUUUGAAUGUACUUAAAAGAAUUUUCGUUUUAUUAUUAAUUUUGUGAAUUUUUGGACUAUUUUUAUGGUAUCUUAU